UCUGCUCUGGGUGUGCUACAUUGGCAUAGAGCUGCCAGGCCCAAAGGGUUGCCUUGUUUCCAAAGUGGGAGAGAGGCCCCAUACAUCUUGCUUACAGCUCUUUGGGAAGCUAAGGAACAGCCGACACUGAACAAUGCUACCACAGCCUACCGGGAACAUCACUUACAAAGGCCUGUGAAACGCAUGUUCUUGUCAGGCCUGAUCUUACUGAAGUAGAAUUUCUGCUCUGGGUGUGCUACAUUUUCCUACAGCUGCCAGACCGAAAGGGCUGCCUUGUUUGCAAAGAGGCAGAGAGGCCCCAAAGCAUCUUGCUUAGAGCUCUUUGGGAAGCUAAGAAACAACCGGCUCUGGCCAGUGCUCGUACAGCCUAUGUGGAACAUCUGUUACCAAGGCCUGUGAAACGCAGUUUGUUGGCAGGCCUGAUCUGGCUGAAGUAGAACUUCUGCUCUGGGUGUGCUACAUUGGCCUAGAGCUGCCAGGCACAAAGGGCUGCAUUGUUUCCAAAGGGUGAGAGAGGCCCCAAACCAUCUUGCUUCCAGCUUUUUUUGGAGCUAAGAAACAACUGGCUCUGCCCAGUGUUCUUACAGCCUACCGGCAACAUCUCUUACAGAAGCCAGUGAAACGCAGUUUCUAGGCAGGCCUGAUCUGGCUGAAGAAAAACUUCUGCUCUGUGUGUGCUACAUUGGCAUAGAGAUGCCAGGCCCAAAGGGCUGCCUUGUUUGCAAAGGGGCAGAGAAGCCCUAAUGCAUCUUGCUUCCAGCUCUUUGGGAAGCUAAGAAACAACUGGCUCUGCCUAGUGCUCUGACAACCUCCCUGGAACAUCUGCUACCAAGGCCUGUGAAACGCAAUUUCUUGGAAGGCCUGUUCUGGCUGAAGCAGAACUUCUGCUCUGGGUGUGCUACAUUGGCAUACAGCUGCCAUGCCUAAAGUGCUGGCUUCUUUGCAAAGGCGUAGAGAGGCCACAAAGCAUCUUGCUUCCAGCUCUUUGGGAAGAUAAGAAACAAGUGGCUCUGCCCAGGGCUCUUACAACCUACCUGGAACAUCUGUUACCAAGGCCUUUGAAAUGCAGUUUCUUGGCAGGCCUGAUCUGGCUAAAGCAGACCUUCUGCUCUCGGUGUGCUACAUUGGCAUAGAGCUGCAAGGCACAAAGUCCUGCCUUUUGUCCUCAAGUGCAGACUGGCCCCACAGCGAAGGCCUUCCAGCUUGUUGGGCAGCUAAGAAACAACUUGCUCCGGACUGGUGUUUUACAGCCUAAAGGGAACGAGUCUUACAAAGGCCUGUGAAACGCAGUUUCAUCCCAGAACUUAUCUCACUGAAGUAGAACUUCUGCUCUGCCAUGUCCUACAUGGGCCUAGAGCUGCAAGGCACAAAGUCCUGCCUUGUUUCCACAAGGAGAGACAAGUCCCUCAGCGUCCAGCUUCCAGCUCUUUCGGCAGCUAAGAAAUAACUCGCUGUGCAUAGGGCUCUUACAGCCUACCCGGAACAUGUCUUACAAAGGCCUGUGAAAGGCAGUUUCUUCCCAGCCCUGAUCUGGCUGAAGUAGAACUUCUGCUCUGCCGGGUCCUACAUGGGCCUAGAGCUGCAUGGCACAGUGUCCUGCCUUGUUUCCACAAGGGGAGACUAGUCCCUCAGCGUCCAGCUUCCAGCUCUUUGGGCAGCUAAGAAACAACUCGCUCUUCAUUGGUGUUUUACAGCCUACAGGGAACAUGUCUUACAAAGGCCUGUGAAACACAGUUUCUUCUCAGGCCUGAUCUCGCUGAAGUAGAACUUCUGCUAUGCCGUGUCCUUCAUCGGCCUAGAGCUGCCAGGCACAAAGUCCGGCCUUGUGUCCUCAAGGGCAGACAGGCCCCACAGCGUGGGGCUUCCAGCUUUUGGGCAGCUAAGAAACAACUUGCUCAGCACUGGUGUUUUACAGCCUACCGGGAACAUGUCUUACAAAGGCCUCUGAAACGCUGAUUAUUCCCAGCACUGAUCUGCCUGAGGCAGAACUUCUGCUGUGCCGUGUCCUACAUGGCCCUAGAGCUGCAGGACACAAAGUCCUGCCUUGUUUCCACAAGGGGAGACAAGUCCCUCAGCGUCCAGCUUCCAGCUCUUUCGGCAGCUAAGAAACAACUCGCUCUGCAUAGGGCUCUUACAGCCUACCGGGAACAUGUCUUACAAAGACCUGUGAAAGGCAGUUUCUUCCCAGGGCUGAUCUCGCUGAAGUAGAACUUCUGCUCUGCCGUGUCCUACAUGGGCCCGGAUAUUCAAGGCACAAAGACCUGCCUUGUGUCCACAAGGGGAGUCUAGACCCUCAGCGUCCAGCUUCCAGCUCUUUGAUCAGCUAAGAAGCAACUUGCUCUGCACAGGGCUCUUACAGCCUACCAGGAACAUGUCUUACAAAGGCCUGUGAAACGCAGUUUCUUCUCAGGCCUGAUGUCGCUGAAGUAGAACUUCUGCUCUGCAGUGUCCUACAUGGGCCGAGAGCUGCCAGGCACAAAGUCCUGCCUUGUUUUCACAAGGGGAGACUAGUCCCUCACCGUCCAGCUUCCAGCUCUUUGGGCAGCUAAGUAACAACUCGCUCUGCAUUGGUGUUUUACAGCCUACUGGGAACAUGUCUUACAAAGGCCUGUGAAACGCAGUUACUUCUCAGGCCUGAUCUCGCUGACGUAGAACUUCUGCUCUGCCAUGUCCUACAUGGCCCUAGAGCUGCAAGGCACAAAGUCCUGCCUUGUUUCCCCAAGGGGAGACUAGUCACUCAGCAUCCAGCUUCCAGCUCUUUGGGCAGCUAAGAAACAACUUGCUCUGGACAGGGCUCUUCCAGCCUCCCUGGAACAUGUCUUACAAAGGCCUGUGAAACGCAGUUUCUUCCCAGGCCUGAUCUCGCUGCAGUAGAACUUCUGCUCUGCCGUGUCCUAAAUAGGCCUAGAGCUGCAAGGCACAAAGUCCUGCCUUGUUUCCACAAGGGGUGACAAGUCCCUUAGCGUCCAGCUUCCAGCUCCUUGGACAGCUAAGAAACAACUCACUUUGCAUAGGGCUCUUACAGCCUACCGGGAACAUGUCUUACAAAGGCCUGUGAAAUGCAGUUCCUUCUUAGGCCUGAUCUCGCUGAAGUAGAACUUCUGCUCUGCCGUGUCCUACAUGGGCUUAGAGCUGCAAGGCACAAAGUGCGGCCUUGUGUCCUCAAGGGCAGACAGGCCCCACAGCGUGGGGCUUGCAGCUCUUUGUGCUGCUAAGUAACAACUCGCUCUGCAUAGGGCUCUUACAGGGUACCGGGAACAUUUCUUACAAUGGCCUGUGAAACGCAGUUUCUUCCCAUGCCUUGUCUCGCUGAAGUAGAACUUCUGCUAUGCCAUGUCCUACAUCGGCCUAGAGCUGCAAGGCACAAAGUCCUGCCUUGUGUCCUCAAGGGCAGACAUGCCCCACAGCUUGGGACUUCCAGCUCUUUGGGCAGCUAAGAAACAACUUGCUCUGCACUGGAGGUUUGCAGCCUACUGGGAUCGAGUCUUACAAAGGCUUGUGAAGCGCAGUUUCUUCCCAGGGCUGAUCUCGCUGACGUAGAACUUCUGCUCUGCUGUGUCCGACAUGGCCCUAGACCUUCAAGGCACAAAGUCCUGCCUUGUUUCCACAAGGGGAGACUAGUCCGUCAGUGUCCAGCUUCCAGCUCUUUGGGCAGCUAAGAAACAACUUGCUCUGCACGGGGCUCUUUCAUUCUACCUGGAACAUGUCUUACAAAGGCCUGUGAAACGCAGUUUCUUCUCAGGCCUGAUCUCUCUGAAGUAGAACUUCUGCUAUGCCGUGUCCUUCAUCGGCCUAGAGCUGCAAGGCACAAAGUCCUGCCUUGUGUCCUCAAGGGCAGUUAGGCCCCACAGCGUGGGGCUUCCAGCACUUUGGGCAGCUAAGAAACAACUUCCUCUGCACUAGUGUUUUACAGCCUACAGGGAACGAGUGUUACAAAGGCCUGUGAAACGCAGUUUCUUCCCAGGCCUGAUCUCGCUGAAGUAGAACUUCUGCUCUGCCGUGUCCUACAUGUCCCUAGAGCUGCAAGGGACAAAGUCCUGCCUUGUUUCCACAAGGGGAGACUAGUCGCUCAGCGUCCAGCUUCCAGCUCUUUCGGCAGCUAAGAAACAACUUGCUCUGCACAGGGCUCUUCCAUCCUCCCUGGAACAUGUCUUACAAAGGCCUGUGAAAGGCAGUUUCUUCCCAGGCCUGAUCCUGCUGAAGUAGAACUUCUGCUCUGCCGUGUCCUACAUGGGCCUAGAGCUGCAAGGCACAAAAUCCUGCCUUGUUUCCAAAAGGGGAGACAAGUCCCUCAUCGUCCAGCUUGCAGCUCUUUGUGCAGCUAGGAAACAACUCGCUCUGCAUUGGUGUUUUACAGCCCACCGGGAACAUGUCUUACAAAGGCCUGUGAAACGCAGUUUCUUCCCAGGCCUGAUCCCGCUGAAGUGGAACUUCUGCUAUGCUGUGUCCUGCAUCGGCCUAGAGAUGCAAGGCACAAAGUCCUGCCUUGUGUCCUCAAGGGCAGACAGGCCCCACAGCGUGGGGCUUCCAGCUUUUUGGGCAGCUAAGAAACAACUUGCUCCGCACUGGUCUUUUACAGCCUACAGGGAACGUGUCUUACAAAGGCCUGUGAAACGCAGUUUCUUCCCAGGGCUGAUCUCGCUGAAUUAGAACUUCUUCUCUGCCGUGUCCUACAUGGGCCUGGAGCUGCAAGGCACAAAGUCCUGCUUUGUUUCCACUAGGGGAGACAAGUCCCUCAGCGUCCAGCUUCCAGCUCUUUCGGCAGCUAAGAAACAACUCGCUCUGCAUAGGGCUAUACAGCCUACCGGGAACAUGUCUUACAAAGGCCUGUGAAAGGCAGUUUCUUCCCAGCCCUGAUCUACCUGAAGUAGAACUUCUGCUGUGCCGUGUCCUACAGGGCCCUAGAGCUGCAAGGCACAAAGUCCUGCCUUGUUUUCCAAGGGGAGACUAGUCCCUCAGUGUGCAGCUUCCAGCUCUUUGGGCAGCUAAGAAACAAUUUGCUCUGCACAGAUCUCUUCCAUCCUCCCUGGAACAUGUCUUACAAAGGCCUGUGAAACGCAAUUUCUUGGAAGGCCUGAUCUUUCUGAAGCAGAACUUCUGCUCUGAGUGUGCUACCUUGGCAUAGAGCUGCCAGGCCCAAAGCGCUGGCUUCCAUGCAAAGGGGUAGAGAGGCCCCAAAGCAUCUUGCUUCCAGCUCUUUGGGAAGCUAAGAAACUACUGGCUCUGCCCAGUGCUCUUACAACCUACCUGGAACAUCUGUUACCAAGGCCUGUGAAAUGCAGUCUCUUGACAGGCCUGAUCUGGCUGAAGCAGACCUUCUGCUCUGGGUGUGCUACAUUGGCAUAGAGCUGCCAGGCCCAAAGUGCUGGCUUCUUUUCAAAGGGGUAGAGAGGCCCCAAAGCAUCUUGCUUCCAGCUCUUUGGGAAGCUAAGAAACUACUGGCUCUGCCCAGUGCUCUUACAACCUACCUGGAACAUCUGUUACCAAGGCCUGUGAAAUGCAGUCUCUUGACAGGCCUGAUCUGGCUGAAGCAGACCUUCUGCUCUGGGUGUGCUACAUUGGCAUAGAGCUGCCAGGCCCAAAGUGCUGGCUUCUUUUCAAAGGGGUAGAGAGGCCCCAAAGCAUCUUGCUUCCAGCUCUUUGGGAAGCUAAGAAACUACUGGCCCUGCCCAGUGCUCUUACAACCUACCUGGAACAUCUGUUACCAAGGCCUGUGAAAUGCAGUUUCUUGACAGGCCUGAUCUGGCUGAAGCAGACCUUCUGCUCUGGGUGUGCUACAUUGGCAUAGAGCUGCCAGGCCCAAUGGGUUGCCUUGUUUCCAAAGGGGGAGAGAGGCCCCAUACAUCUUGCUUCCAGCUCUUUGGGAAGCUAAGGAACAACUGACACUGAACAAUGCUACCACAGCAUACCGGGAACAUCACUUACAAAGGCCUGUGAAACGCAGUUUCUUGCCAGGCCUGAUCUUACUGAAGUAGAAUUUCUGCUCUGGGUGUGCUAAAUUUGCCUAGAGCUGCCAGGCCGAAAGGGCUGCCUUUUUUGCAAAUUGGCAGAGAGGCCCCACAGCGUGGGGCUUCGAGCUUUUUGGGCAGCUAAGAAAGAACUUGCUCCGCACUGGUGUUUUACAGCCUACAGGGAACGAAUCUUACAAAGGCCUGUGAAACGCAGUUUCUUCCCAGGCAUGAUCUCGCUGAAGUAGAACUUCUGCUCUGCCGUGUCCUACAUGGCCCUAGAGAUGCAAGGCACAAAGUCCUGCCUUGUUUCCCCAAGGGGAGACAAGUCCCUCAGCGUCCAGCUUCCAGCUCUUUCGGCAGCUAAGAAACAACUCGCUCUGCAUAGGGCUCUUACAGACCACCGGGAACAUGUCUUAAAAAGGCCUGUGAAAAGCGGUUUCUUCCCAGCCCUGAUCUGUCUGAAGUAGAACUUCUGAUCUGCCGUGUCCUACAUGGCACUAGAGCUGCAAGGCACAAAGUCCUGCCUUGCUUCCCCAAGGGGAGACUAGUCCCUCAGCGUCCAGCUUCCAGCUCUUUGGGCAGCUAGGAAAAAACUCGCUAUGCAUUGGUGUUGUACAGCCUACCGGGAACAUACCUUACAAAGGCCUGUGUAACGCAGUUUCUUCCCAGGUCUGAUCUCGCUGAAGUAGAACUUCUGCUCUGCCGUGUCCUACAUGGGCCUAGAGCUGCAAGGCACAAACUCCUGUCUUGUGUCCUCAAGGGCAGACAGGCCCCACAGCAUGGGGCUUCCAGAUCUUUGGGCAGCUGAGAAGCAACUUGCUCUGCACAGGAGUUUUACAGCCUACAGGGAACGAGUCUUACAAAGGCCUGUGAAACGCAGUUUCUUUGUAGGCCUGAUCUGGCUGAAGUAGAACUUCUGCUCUGGGUGUGCUACAUUGACCUAGAGGUGCAAGGCACAAAGUGCUGUCUUUUUUCCAAAGGGCGAGUUGGGCCCCAAAGCAUCUUGCUUCCAGCUCUUUGGGAAUCUAAGAAACAACUCGCUCAGCACAGUGCUCUUACAGCCAAACGGGAACAUCUCUUACAAAGGCCUGUGAAAUGCAGUUUCUUCCCAGUCCUGAUCUCGCUGUAGUAGAAUUUCUGCUCUGCCAUGUCCUACAUGGCCCUAGAGCUGCAGCGCACAAAGUCCUUCCUUGUUUCCCGAAGGGGAGACUAGUCCUUCAGCGUCCAGGUUCCAGCUCUUUGGGCAGCUAAGAAACAACUCGCUCUGCAUAGGGCUCUUACAGCCUACCGGAAACAUGUCUUACAAAAGGCCUGUGAAAGGCAGUUUCUUCCCAGCCCUGAUGUGGCUGAAGUAGUACUUCUGCUCUGCCGUGUCCUACAUGGCCCUAGAGUUGCAAGGCACAAAGUCCUGCCUUGUUUUCCCAAGGGAAGACUAGUCCCUCAGUGUCAAGCUGCCAGCUAUUUGGGCAGCUGAGAAGCAACUUGCUCUCCACAGGUCUUUUACAGCCUACAGGGAACGAGUCUUACAAAGGCCUGUGAAACGCGGGUUCUUUGCAGGCCUCAUCUGGCUGAAGUAGAACUUCUGCUCUGGGAGUGCUACAUUGCCCUAGAGCUGCAAGGCACAAAGUGCUGUCUUGUUUCCAAAGGGCGAGUUGGGCCCCAAAGCAUCUUGCUUCCAGUUCUUUGGGAAGCUAAGAAACAACUCGCUCUGCACACCUCUCUUACAGCCAACCGGGAACAUCUCUUACAAAGGCCUGUGAAACGCAGUUUCUUUGCAGGCCUGAUCUGGAUGAAGUAGAACAUCUGCUCUGCGUGUGCUCCAUUGCCCUAGAGCUGAAAGGCACAACGUGCAGCCUUCUUUCCAAAGGGCGAGUUGGGCCCCAAAGAAUCUUGCUUCCAGCUCUUCGGGAAGCUAAGAAACAACUCGCUCUGCACAGUGCUCUUACAGCCUAUCGGGAACGUCUCUUACAAAGGCCUG
rnacentral:lncRNA from 1 species